CAAUAUGUCAGCGGCAGACGGGUGAGUAACGCGUGGGAACGUACCUUUUGGUUCGGAACAACACAGGGAAACUUGUGCUAAUACCGGAUAAGCCCUUACGGGAAAGAUUUAUCGCCGAAAGAUCGGCCCGCGUCUGAUUAGCUAGUUGGUGAGGUAAUGGCUCACCAAGGCGACGAUCAGUAGCUGGUCUGAGAGGAUGAUCAGCCACAUUGGGACUGAGACACGGCCCAA
rnacentral:rRNA from 1 species